rnacentral:rRNA from 1 species
AGGCGACGAAGUGGUUGAUACCAUGCUUCCAAGAAAAGCUCCUAAGCUUCAGAUAACUGGGAACCGUACCCCAAACCGACACAGGUGGUUAGGUAGAGAAUACCAAGGCGCUUGAGAGAACUCGGGUGAAGGAACUAGGCAAAAUGGCACCGUAACUUCGGGAGAAGGUGCGCCGGCGAGGGUGAAGGACUUGCUCCGUAAGCCCAUGCCGGUCGAAGAUACCAGGCCGCUGCGACUGUUUAUUAAAAACACAGCACUCUGCAAACACGAAAGUGGACGUAUAGGGUGUGACGCCUGCCCGGUGCCGGAAGGUUAAUUGAUGGGGUUAGCGCAAGCGAAGCUCUUGAUCGAAGCCCCGGUAAACGGCGGCCGUAACUAUAACGGUCCUAAGGUAGCGAAAUUCCUUGUCGGGUAAGUUCCGACCUGCACGAAUGGCGUAACGAUGGCGGCGCUGUCUCCACCCGAGACUCAGUGAAAUUGAAAUCGCUGUGAAGAUGCAGUGUAUCCGCGGCUAGACGGAAAGACCCCGUGAACCUUUACUAUAGCUUUGCACUGGACUUUGAAUUUGCUUGUGUAGGAUAGGUGGGAGGCUUUGAAGUGGGGACGCCAGUUCUCAUGGAGCCAUCCUUGAAAUACCACCCUGGCAACUUUGAGGUUCUAACUCAGGUCCGUUAUCCGGAUCGAGGACAGUGUAUGGUGGGUAGUUUGACUGGGGCGGUCUCCUCCCAAAGAGUAACGGAGGAGUACGAAGGUGCGCUCAGACCGGUCGGAAAUCGGUCGUAGAGUAUAAAGGCAAAAGCGCGCUUGACUGCGAGACAAACACGUCGAGCAGGUACGAAAGUAGGUCUUAGUGAUCCGGUGGUUCUGUAUGGAAGGGCCAUCGCUCAACGGAUAAAAGGUACUCCGGGGAUAACAGGCUGAUACCGCCCAAGAGUUCAUAUCGACGGCGGUGUUUGGCACCUCGAUGUCGGCUCAUCACAUCCUGGGGCUGAAGCCGGUCCCAAGGGUAUGGCUGUUCGCCAUUUAAAGUGGUACGCGAGCUGGGUUUAGAACGUCGUGAGACAGUUCGGUCCCUAUCUGCCGUGGACGUUUGAGAUUUGAGAGGGGCUGCUCCUAGUACGAGAGGACCGGAGUGGACGAACCUCUGGUGUUCCGGUUGUCACGCCAGUGGCAUUGCCGGGUAGCUAUGUUCGGAAGAGAUAACCGCUGAAAGCAUCUAAGCGGGAAACUUGCCUCAAGAUGAGAUCUCACUGGGAUCUUGAAUCCCCUAAAGGGCCGUCGAAGACUACGACGUUGAUAGGUUGGGUGUGUAAGCGCUGUGAGGCGUUGAGCUAACCAAUACUAAUUGCCCGUGAGGCUUGACCAU